CCUUGUGGAGGAGGACGCCGAAGGUGGGGCUAAUGACUGGGGUGAAGUCGUAACAAGGUAGCCGUACCGGAAGGUGCGGCUGGAUCACCUCCUAACAGGGAGACAACAAAAUGUUUAAUAAUUAUUAUUUUGUCACCUUAGGUCGAUCGGUACCUCACUUUUUUAAUUUAUUAAGAAUUUCAUUUCCUAAGUUUUUCUAGGUCACACCCAUUAUUUUUCCUGGGCCAUUAGCUCAGGUGGUUAGAGCGCACCCCUGAUAAGGGUGAGGUCCCUGGUUCAAGUCCAGGAUGGCCCAUAUCUCUAUGUUGGGGGUAUAGCUCAGUUGGUAGAGCGCCUGCUUUGCAAGCAGGAUGUCAGCGGUUCGAGUCCGCUUACCUCCACUGAUUACCACCUCUUCCAUAACCGGUAGAAAGGAAAUGUUUUGAGUUGUGAUCAAAUUCUGAAAGAAUCUAGCUUCCUAAUGAAAUCAUUAAGAUGCUGGACUCAUUGAAUUAAUUUCAUUGUUUUCAGAGAACCUUGACAACUGCAUAGAUUAUUUUUAAAGACAAUAAGCAUCUUUAAUGAUGCAGAUUUAUUAUUUGUGCGAAUGCAUUAAAUAACAAUUCUAUUAAGCUGAUGCUUCAAUUUUUGAAGUUAUUGGUCAAGCUACAAAGGGCUCACGGAGGAUACCUAGGCACACAGAGGCGAUGAG
rnacentral:misc_RNA from 1 species